rnacentral:tRNA from 1 species
UGGGAUGUAGCUCAGUGAAAGAGCACUUGGCCUAGCAUGUAUAAGGCCCUGGGUUCACUUCUCAGUAUCUCAA